rnacentral:rRNA from 1 species
AUUGAACGCUGGCGGCAGGCCUAACACAUGCAAGUCGAGCGGAUGAAGGGAGCUUGCUCCUGGAUUCAGCGGCGGACGGGCGCGUAAUGCCUAGGAAUCUGCCUGGUCGUGGGGGAUAACGUCCGGAAACGGGCGCUAAUACCGCACACGUUCUGAGGGAGAAAGUGGGGGUUCUUUGGAACUCACGCUAUCAGAUGAGCCUAGGUCGGAUUAGCUAGUUGGUGGGGUAAAGGCCUACCAAGGCAACGAUCCGUAACUGGUCUGAGAGGAUGAUCAGUCACACUGGAACUGAGACACGGUCCAGACUCCUACGGGAGGCAGCAGUGGGGAAUAUUGGACAAUGGGCGAAAGCCUUAUCCAGCAAGGCCGCGUGUGUGAUGAAGGUCUUCGGAUUUUAAAGCACUUUAAGUUGGGAGGAAGGGCAGUAAGUUAAUACCUUGCUGUUUUGACGUUACCAACAGAAUAAGCACCGGCUAACUUCGUG